rnacentral:tRNA from 1 species
GAGAGAGGCCCAGGGCAAUAAGACCUGCUAAUUCUUAAUUCUGUGGGUCAACUCCACAGCUCACUCG